rnacentral:rRNA from 1 species
CACGGGGUUGCGAGCGUUGUCCGGAAUUACUAGGCGUAAAGGGCAGGCAGGCGGAUCCAUAAGUUUAUCGUUUAAGGCGUCGGCUUAACCGGCGUAGGGCGGUAGAUACUGUGGAUCUGGAAUGCGGUUGGGGAAGACAGAAUUCCUGGUGUAGCGGUGGAAUGCGCAGAGAUCAGGAGGAAUACCGAAGGCGAAGGCAGUCUUCCAAGCCGUUAUUGACGCUCAACUGCGAAGGUGUGGGUAUCAAACAGGAUUAGAUACCCGUGUAGUCCCU